CUCGAAUUGGUCUGACGGUUAGCGGAAGCGUUACUAGCGUUACUCUUGCCGUUCCCAUCGCUAUUUUUGCUUCCCUUCGGUUUGCGCUUACGAGACUGCAAAGGAAAAUUGAUUCAGUGGACGGUUCACGUUGUGCAGCUUGUAGUACAGUCCACACGCAUUGCAGACUGGUUCACCGACUUGAUUGCGGCGCCACAACGAAGUGUUGGUUGUGUUGCAGUUAGAACAUUGCAGUCCUACACGUCUUGCCGAGCUCUGAUGAGGAUAGUUAAAACGAAAUCAGUAUUAGCAACGGUUUUGUGAAACGAACAUCGAAACAAACAACACCGAUACAAGGGGACAUUUUUUGUUACAGGGAGUGUGGAUGAUUAGACUACAAAGCGAUAAUAGGUGAAUUAGUAAGCAACAGUAACUAAAAGAUGCUAGUAUAUGUUAGAAUUAGAGCAUCUCUGAAAUAAUGGGAAAGAUCUGCGAACUAAACUACGCUAAGGGAAUUCGGGGUGCAUUCGGAGGGGUUCCAAGCAACAACAACAACAACAACACCAGGAUAAGGCUCUAAUGAAAUCCGUUCCAAAUGAAAAAGGUCCGAAGAAGGAAACCUACCAUCCGUCGACUUUGCUUCUCCUCGGUGGUGCGAGUGGUCAAGUUACUGAAGGUAUAGUUGUUCUUAUAGAGAUCCCCGCCCUGUUCUGCGGCCACUGGAAUUACAAUUUUGGGAUAUGGUAGACUUUGAUUAGUUGCUCACAAACAAACAAACGGGAAACAAAACAAUAGGAAAACCUGACGAGUACGAAGUGUGUAUUUAAAAAAAGGAAUUAAACAAAAUACAUAGGAAUUAGGAAACAUAAUUCAACAACACCAAUUUCGAGUACGAGCAAAGUUCGAAACUAGCUAUCAGCAGCAAAGCAAAACGGGAGCGUUUUUCACGAUGAUGGCACCAACGCAAUCAACAGAAUGGCAACCACUUGGUAGACGCGUAAUACAAAAGUCUAUCAUUUGUGAGUACUAGCAACAAUGGCAUACAAAAUAAUAAUAAUAAAAGAAACACACACACACACACUGAGCUGCUGCUACUACUGCAUGAACAAUGGUAUCUAAAUUAUGGCCGGGCGGGGGGUACACAUUCAGCUUGAAAUACAACUAGAAGCCAACUAGUAUCUAUCCCUUCUAUUAUUUUAGUUUUUUUUUUCUAGACCUUCCAAAUUGGAAUGGAUUUCUGAGGAGCAUUAAAAUGAUGCGAAGCUUUCACCCUCUCGCACUCACCUCCAACUCAGGGACAAAUACCCAAACACACACACACAAACAUAUAAAAAACAUAAACAAAUCUUAUUUAAAUUGCAAGGAGAAAAAAUGAUACUAAUGAAUUGUUCAAUGAUACAUGAACUAAUGAGAAAACUUGAAAGUAAUGUAAAAGAAAUAUAAGAUAAACAAAGCUCCUCCUAGAGCGCAAAUCAUCACAAAAUGUGAUACAACGAAAUUUAGGUUAAAGCUUUAUUAUAUAUAAAACACAAACAGUUUAACGUAUUUGUAGAACAGGGUAAAUGGAAGUACGAAAUAAAGCUCACAAAAUUAACAAAUUUAA